GUACACGCUGUGACUAGCAUAUCAAUAAGCGGAGGAAAAGAAACUAACAAGGAUUCCCCUAGUAACGGCGAGUGAAGCGGGAAGAGCUCAAAUUUGAAAUCUUAAAGGGUUUCCCUUUACGAAUUGUAGUUUAAAGAAGUGUUUUCUGUUGAGGUUUUGGUAAAAGUUCUUUGGAAUAGGACAUCAUAGAGGGUGAGAAUCCCGUAUUUGACCUUUACUUUCAACUUUGUGAUACACUUUCAAAGAGUCGGAUUGUUUGGGAAUGCAGUCCAAAAUGGGUGGUAAAUUUCAUCUAAAGCUAAAUAUCGGCGAGAGACCGAUAGCGAACAAGUACCGUGAGGGAAAGAUGAAAAGAACUUUGAAAAGAGAGUUAAACAGUACGUGAAAUUGUCAAAAGGGAAGCGUUUGACACCAGUGUUGUUUUUCUGAAAAUCAAUUAAAGAACUGUUUAUGCUAAGUUGUUUAGACUUUAUCAGCUAACUGUUUAGUUUUGAGCUUUUCUUUAAUGCACUUUUCAGUUAACAAGUCAACAUCAAUUUCUUUUGCUGUAAAAAAGCUUGAGGAAGGUGGCUUGAGAUUCGUCUUAAGUGUUUAUAGCCUCUUGCCUAUGCAGUCGGAGAGAUUGAGGUCUGCAGCGUAGAUCCUUCGGGGCUAAUGACAUUUGUGCUAAGUUAUAGCAUUUUCAUAGACAACUUGUUGACUAUGAUUUAGUCUUGUAGCUUACUCGCUUAUGCUAUUUUACCUACGCUUAGGAUGUUGAAGAUAUGCGCGACACG
rnacentral:rRNA from 1 species